CCUACGGGAGGCAGCAGUGGGGAAUAUUGCGCAAUGGGGGAAACCCUGACGCAGCAACGCCGCGUGAGUGAAGAAGGCCUUCGGGUUGUAAAGCUCUUUAAUCAGGGACGAAGAAUGACGGUACCUGAAGCAUAAGCUCCGGCUAACUACGUGCCAGCAGCCGCGGUAAUACGUGGGGAGCAAGCGUUAUCCGGAUUUACUGGGUGUAACGGGCGUGUAGGCGGGCUUGCAAGUCAGAAGUGAAAUCUGGGGGCUUAACCCCCAAACUGCUUUUGAAACUGUGGGUCUUGAGUGAUGGAGAGGCAGGCGGAAUUCCCAGUGUAGCGGUGAAAUGCGUAGAUAUUGGGAGGAACACCAGUGGCGAAGGCGGCCUACUGGACAUUAACUGACGCUGAGGCGCGAAAGCGUGGGGAGCAAACAGGAUUAGAUACCCUGGUAGUC
rnacentral:rRNA from 1 species